rnacentral:rRNA from 1 species
AAUUUUAAUAAUUAAUAAAUUUUUGGAAAUUAAUAUUUUUUGAUAAAUUAAAAUUUAAUUGGGGUGAUUGAAAAAUUAAAUAAACUUUUUUUAAAAAAUACAUAUAUUUAUGAAUUGAUGAUCCAUUAAAAUGAUUAAAAGAUUAAAUUACCUUAGGGAUAACAGCGUUAUAUUUUUUGAAAGUUCAAAUUUUAAAAAAAGUUUGCGACCUCGAUGUUGGAUUAAAAUUUAAUUAUGGUGUAGAAGCUAUAGGUUUAGGUCUGUUCGACCUUUAAAAUUUUACAUGAUCUGAGUUUAAACCGGUGUGAGCCAGGUUGGUUUCUAUCUUUAGUUAAAAAAAUAUUUUAGUACGAAAGGACCAUUUAUUUAUAAAAUUUAUUUUUUUAAGAGUAAU